GAUGAACGCUGGUGGCGUGCUUAACACAUGCAAGUCGAACGGUGAAGCCAAGCUUGCUUGGUGGAUCAGUGGCGAACGGGUGAGUAACACGUGAGCAACCUGCCCUGGACUCUGGGAUAAGCGCUGGAAACGGCGUCUAAUACUGGAUAUGAGGCGUGAUCGCAUGGUCAACGUCUGGAAAGAUUUUUCGGUCUGGGAUGGGCUCGCGGCCUAUCAGCUUGUUGGUGAGGUAAUGGCUCACCAAGGCGUCGACGGGUAGCCGGCCUGAGAGGGUGACCGGCCACACUGGGACUGAGACACGGCCCAGACUCCUACGGGAGGCAGCAGUGGGGAAUAUUGCACAAUGGGCGGAAGCCUGAUGCAGCAACGCCGCGUGAGGGAUGACGGCCUUCGGGUUGUAAACCUCUUUUAGCAGGGAAGAAGCGAAAGUGACCGUUCCUGCAGAAAAAGCGCCGGCUAACUACGUGCCAGCAGCCGCGGUAAUACGUAGGGCGCAAGCGUUAUCCGGAAUUAUUGGGCGUAAAGAGCUCGUAGGCGGUUUGUCGCGUCUGCUGUGAAAUCCCGAGGCUCAACCUCGGGCCUGCAGUGGGUACGGGCAGACUAGAGUGCGGUAGGGGAGAUUGGAAUUCCUGGUGUAGCGGUGGAAUGCGCAGAUAUCAGGAGGAACACCGAUGGCGAAGGCAGAUCUCUGGGCCGUAACUGACGCUGAGGAGCGAAAGGGUGGGGAGCAAACAGGCUUAGAUACCCUGGUAGUCCACCCCGUAAACGUUGGGAACUAGUUGUGGGGACCAUUCCACGGUUUCCGUGACGCAGCUAACGCAUUAAGUUCCCCGCCUGGGGAGUACGGCCGCAAGGCUAAAACUCAAAGGAAUUGACGGGGACCCGCACAAGCGGCGGAGCAUGCGGAUUAAUUCGAUGCAACGCGAAGAACCUUACCAAGGCUUGACAUACACCAGAACGGGCCAGAAAUGGUCAACUCUUUGGACACUGGUGAACAGGUGGUGCAUGGUUGUCGUCAGCUCGUGUCGUGAGAUGUUGGGUUAAGUCCCGCAACGAGCGCAACCCUCGUUCUAUGUUGCCAGCACGUAAUGGUGGGAACU
rnacentral:rRNA from 1 species